UACGGAGGAUCCGAGCGUUAUCCGGAUUUAUUGGGUUUAAAGGGUGCGCAGGCGGAAUAUUAAGUCGGCGGUGAAAGUUUGCAGCUUAACUGUAAAAGUGCCUUCGAAACUGGUUUCCUUGAGUGUAGAUGAAGUAGGCGGAAUUUGUGGUGUAGCGGUGAAAUGCAUAGAUAUCACGAGGAACUCCGAUUGCGCAGGCAGCUUACUAAACCAUAACUGACGCUCAGGCACGAAGGCGUGGGGAUCAAACAGGAUUAGAUACCCCCGUAGUCCCUGA
rnacentral:rRNA from 1 species